rnacentral:lncRNA from 1 species
GGCCUCCCUUCCGAGGAGGCGGUGCUGGGGCGGGCGCAGGACUGCAGGCUGGGGCUCCGCUCCCCGGCGGGAGCCCGCGCGUGGUUCCCAGCGAAGUCCCCGCGCGGCUGGGCCCAGCGUGAGUAUUCUCCGCCCGCUGUCCUCCCCCUGGAGGCGGCAGCGCCCGUUUAUUUGAGGCUUCUAAUGUGAGGAAAAACACGGAAUGACAAGUGUGGGAAAGAGCAAGCACUAAAUUACUGUCAGAAAAAUAAACGGAGUAGCACAGUGCUGCUCGGUGAUUUACGGGGGCAAUUAGUCACCACCCCACGGCGCUGCUGAGGACAGCACGGCAGCAGACAAGUCAGGCCCAUGAGGAAGAAGAGGCUUUGCACUGCUCUCCAGACAACUUUUCAAACAACAAGAGAGGAUAUUUGAGCACAUUAGGUUUUGUGUCUUCAUUCUGGCCGUGUGAAGAUGUGCCUGCUUCGCCUUCCAUCAUGACUGAAGUUUCCUGAGGCCUCCCCAGCUAUGCUCCCUAUACAGCCUGCAGAACGGUCGGCUGCCUCCAAUCCUGAGGUCAUCACUCAUCAAGAGGGGAUAAUCCCAGGGACAGCAGGAUCUGCUUCGUUACUUGGAUUUAGGAGCCAGAAACCCAUCAGGCAACUAAACAGUAACAAUGACCCGCCAUUAAACACACUGAGAGAAGAGCAUGAUGAAGAGUUUGUACAAGAAGAAGCCAGGAGCACUUGCUGACAAUGCUUACAGAGACGCAGGCUUCUAUGAGCUCUGCCUGUUGAACUGCAGUAAAAAUAGAUCUCCUUCCCCAGAGAGGCUUGGAUGUGGGCACAAUAUCAGUUCAGACGAUGGUCAAUGCAUGUACUUAAUAGAGUGAAAAGACUUUGGACUGUGAAGUCAGAUUACCUGGGUCUGAAUUGUUAUUCUUCUACUUCUUUGUAGUAUGCUUUCACCACAUUAAAAAUUGUCUGAGCCUCAA